rnacentral:rRNA from 1 species
UUUGGAGGGCAAGUCUGGUGCCAGCAGCCGCGGUAAUUCCAGCUCCAAUAGCGUAUAUUAAAGUUGUUGCAGUUAAAAAGCUCGUAGUUGAAUUUCGGGAUUAGUAAGUUGGUCGUGCCUUCGGUAUGUACUGAUGUUACUGGUUCCUCCUUUUUGAAGAACCGUAAUGUCAUUAAUUUGGUGUGGCGGGAAAUCAGGACUGUUACUUUGAAAAA